rnacentral:rRNA from 1 species
UACGUAGGGUGCGAGCGUUAAUCGGAAUUACUGGGCGUAAAGCGUGCGCAGGCGGUUGUGUAAGACAGAUGUGAAAUCCCCGGGCUUAACCUGGGAACUGCAUUUGUGACUGCACGGCUGGAGUGCGGCAGAGGGGGAUGGAAUUCCGCGUGUAGCAGUGAAAUGCGUAGAUAUGCGGAGGAACACCGAUGGCGAAGGCAAUCCCCUGGGCCUGCACUGACGCUCAUGAACGAAAGCGUGGGGAGCAAACAGG